rnacentral:rRNA from 1 species
UACAGAGGUCUCGAGCGUUGUUCGGAUUCAUUGGGCGUAAAGGGUGCGUAGGUGGCACUGUAAGUCGGGUGUGAAAUCCUGAGGCUUAACCUCGGAACUGCAUUCGAUACUGCGGUGCUUGAGGACUGGAGAGGAGACUGGAAUUCAUGGUGUAGCAGUGAAAUGCGUAGAUAUCAGGAGGAACACCGAUGGCGAAGGCAGGUCUCUGGGCCACUACUGACGCUGAGAAGCGAAAGCAUGGGGAGCGAACAGG